rnacentral:lncRNA from 1 species
UUUCCACGUGCGUCACCCAUCUUAUCUAUCUGAUGUCUACUCUAACCUUUUAGAGUGUGGAUUUCAUAGUUUCUAUUGGGAGCAGGCUUUCGAAUAUAUAAAACUCAUUUAUGGUUUUCAAUAAUUAGUUCCAAGUCAGCCAUGUACUACUAUCGGUCAUACAAUUGUUUUUUAAUUGUCUUUCUUUUUUUCAAUGCCCGCGGGCCACCUAAUAUUUUGGAUCGUCCUGCUGAUCCGGCUCCGCAGAUGUAGGUGGGAUUUGCCGAACUACAUCACCAAAGCGACUCCUCAUGAUAGGAGAGAAAGAAAUUAGGGGAAUUUAGAACGGAUUCCACUUUUCUAUAUGCUAAUUCGAAUCUGGCGGGUCGCUCCUUUCUUCGUUUGGGGUGUCUCGUGAGCUCUUUAUGGAAAACUUAUUCAUAUUAUUCUCCUCCCUUUUUUCCUAUCCUAUGGAUCAAAAGCUAUGAUUAACUCAGCUCUGACCUAGACUACAGUGCCCCUAGGGAAUGCACAUUCUCUAUCCUAUCCAAAAAAUAGGGACGCUUAUUAAUAGAAAAUUCAACAACGAAAUCUCAAACUUUUUUACCGCGCACCAAUGUCCGCCUUCUUGUACUGAUGUGGCAAAGUGAAAGUGUAAUUAAGCAAGAUUGACCGCCCUUUCAGUAGUAGUAGUGUCUACUGCCUUUCAGAAUGGCUACUAACAUAUUGCACGAGGUGGCUAACUCGCGGAAUAGCUUUUGGGUUGGCAGAAUCUAAAUAACCCCAAUGGUGAUUCCGAGACUUAUCCUACCUACUCAAGCGGCAAUCAAUACACAUUCAGUGAUUUCGAAUAUCACUUACGACAUUUCGAAAUCAGGGUUUGGGGGUUCAAGCUAUAUAUUCAUUGAUAUUGAGGAAGUAGAGGCAGAUUAAAUCUGUGCCAUCAACUUGACUACAUGGAACUAUCAAUGACGCGUUCAAAGGAAUCCUUUCUAUCCUGUGAGCUCGAACCGGAAGUUCAAGCCCUGCUCUUUCCCAGUCUCCCUUUAUACACUGCCUGCUUUCUUCUCCUGAUCCUCCUUCCGAUGCGGAUCCAACUCUCUGUUUUUAUGAACCAGUUAAACUCUCCAUCUAUGUCUGCAUCCGAGCGAGAAGAGAAGUCGAGUCCAUCUUUGUCUCCACUCAACCCUAGCUCGCUAAGCUGUUGAUUUCCAUGGAUCCUUAGAAACUUUGAGUCAUGAUGGAAAACGUACCCUCGCGAGAGAUUGAGAUAAAAAAAAGGAUGGUUUAGAUGCGGGGAAGAGGGGAACGAGAUGGCUGGCUAAGCUGCUCCACCAGGUCUCAUUUCUGGCCGGGAGAUGGUUUGUAUGGAUGGUUCGGUCAGCUGGUUUCGGAACCACGAGCUUCCUGAGAGAGUUUGAAUUAGAUUCAUUGUUUGAAAACACGGAUUUGGUUCACUGUCGGUCGAUUGACUGGUGGUUUGGUUGUUCUUAAGGCUAAGGGAUGGGGGAUGGGGGCAAAGAGAAGAAGGGCUAAGGCCUAAAAAUUUCACUGAUUGAUUCUUUGAUCCCGUCCACAGGUUCAGUGGUAGGUGGUUCCCCUUGACCUAGCUUUUUCUCUGCAGAGAAAGAAAGGGAUCAAAGGCAAUAAAACCUACGAUGUAUCCUCAAUCUUCCGAGGGGUACGGAGCGGCAUCGGAGUAGCCAAUAAGCUAAUCCUUUCCCAGUGACCCAUCUAAUUGAUUUGAUCCAGUGCAGAAAGAAGCGAGUGAGCGGCAAAUGAUCAAAUAUCGGACCUGGUGAAUAUCUGUCUCUCAAUCCCGGGAUUCCAAUCCAAAUUAUGCAUUGCCCGACCGCACUAGAUUCUUGAUUCGCUGGGAGAGAGUAGAGAGUCAAGGUUCGUUGGAAGUACUUCCUUUCUAUUAGUGUCACCGAAAAGGAUGAAAAGAGAUAAGAUGCUGGUGGUUAGCCUGCCCCGGACUCGUAAUUGAUAGUUUCUGAUGAAUGGAGAUAGCCUUCACUGAACGAUGGGAAUACCAAUUGAGACUAGGAGAGGUGGCCUCAUAUCCCGUCCCUGGUUCCGGCUCUCCGAAAGCAGAGUAUACGGGGGCGGCAGAUGGAUUUGAAGUUGAGGGAAACCUAAAGGACAAAAGAAAGAGAUUUAUUUUUAGAUGCGGAUUACCGCUUCUGAGCUUCGAUGAUCGGGAGGGCUUGAUAGCUUCUAUCCAGUGAAGGGCAUGAGAGGAAGAAAUAAAUGGAGAACUUGGGCCUCUUCGGAUGGGAGUUGAUGGCGGCCUUCAAUGGUUCCCAAAAUGGGCAGUUCCCUUCUCUUGGCAGCCGCAGAUGGGCUUUCACACUCCUUCUCUAUAUAAGAUCCAUAGCUUGAACAAGACAGCUGCACUGGGAUACUCAGAAAGAAGUAAAGCGCAUCCACAACUGCCGAAGAAAGAACAGGAGAAUCUAUACUAUCUUCCGCAACUUCCGAAAGAGCCACAUCAAGAACAAGAGCUGGUACCGCAUGUGCCGCAGGACAGGCAGGAAUGGGAUAUAUAUUUGAAACAACAAUAGCAAGGAGAUUCGCCAACAGGAGAGGGCGGGCCCCCCGCGCUAUUAGUGUCUUCUAUAUAAGAAGAGAGUCGAGUUUGAUGAGUGUCGACUGAGGUUGCGCAGAGCAAGCAAGGCGAGUUGCUUGCAAUGGUUGCUUGCGUGCGAGGCAAGGUAGCGCAAGCAAGGCAACGGUAUAAGCAAGGUAGCUUGCAAGUCCCACCUCGAGCAACAGGUUACCUAAAAACAAAUCAAAUCAGAGUCCUUGGUUCAUUGUUCAAUUGUUGAGAUCGAAUCUGACGGUAGCCGAAGGCUACUACAAUGUUUUGUAAGCUCAGGUUAUCGGCAGAAAAUGUAGUGCAAGCGAAAUUCUCGCCAGACGAUGUCAUGCAGCCCAGAUGAGUAGAGACAAACGUCUAGCAAAUCCGAGUAAGCGACAGGCGAGCAAGCGCAAGGCCAACCGAAGGAAGAAGACCAGUUGAAUGCAAGUUCAAUCACGAGGAGAUGGGCAAGUCAAGCCUGCUGGUAGACAGUAUUCAAACUAGGGGCAGAAGUCAUCAAGUUGCUUUCAGUCGUCCUUCUCCUUAUGUACAAGGCACUAAACUAGUGAUGUUAAGCAUUUGCCCUCGAGUGAAGUUCAACUCAGUUGAUUCUCAGAUAAAUCCCACAUGAAGCGAAAGUCUACGCACCACUACAUGAAAGAUCUGACUGUCUAGUCAGAAAGAGUCUUUCUAGAAGCUUUAAUUUAGGAGCGUUUCAUCAAACUAGAAAGAUAUGAAUCUCAGACAGAUGGUCACGUAAGUAGUGGAUCUCACGUCCUAUCCUCAAGUCUUCUUAGUGAUCGUCUGCUCUCAAUGAAUCAAUGCCCGGUGGCUCUGAAUUCAAUAGAAAUCCCGUGAGUGAAACUCUGAGUUGAAAACGACUAAGCUUAUAUGAAUCUCAGACAGAUGGUUGCGUAAGUAGUGGAUCUCACGUCCUAUCUUCAAGUCUACUUAGUGAUCGUCUGCUCUCAAUGAAUCAAUGCCCGGUGGCUCUGAAUUCAAUAGAAAUCCCGUGAGUGAAACUCUGAGUUGAAAACGACUAAGCUUUUUGCCUUGACCUUGACACUAGUCUGAGCCUUUCCCAGGGCACCUUGCCUUCUUUCCUUGGCUUGGCGGGACACAGAAAUGAUUCUUUGCUAUCUAAAGGGAGUUUCGAUUCCGCAGAACCUAUAGGAGCAAUAGACGGAGUGGAGUAUGGCUGUGAGUCAGGCGCAGUAUCCUCACUGUUCUUGUUACAGAAUCAACUCUGAACGCUGUACAUGGUUAGCUGUAAGAAAGAAUAGCGAUUGUUGAAGAAGUUUGCUCUUUCGACGACUCUUAUUGCUCUAAAUAAGCUCUCAUCCUUUAGGAGUGCAGGCACGACUAGCUUUCUCCAACCUUCUUGUGUGACCGCAUGUUGGAGAAAAGAGAUCCACAUCUUACUCUAACGGCAAUGUCAGGAUCUCAGUCUAUCUCUUUCUCACAUUUGACACUCUCUUCUAUAUACCGCUAAGUCGCAUCCAACUACCUGUACUCUAAGAAUGAAGGUUGUAAACAACCUUAACAAGCGACCACUGGACUUGUGAAAGAGAGCUGUUCUUCGCAUCGAGAAUCGACUGUUUACCCUCUCUUCUUGCAUCUGUGCAUUUCGAGCCUUGGGCAAGCUCCCGACAUGUCUACUUCAUCAAAUUCCCUGUCUACCGAAAAUGGAUGAACCUAUCCACAGGGAUUUUGAGCAUCACUUCUUUUUUUUCCCCAACGACAAAGGAACUUACGGGCGGGGCAUUUUUAGGGACUAGCCCGCUUCCCAUUACUAAAUAGGGAAAUUCCUCACACAUAAUUAAGGGAGCCAUUGAAAGGUGACUAAAACACCAGAAACGGGGACUACCCGUGCUAAUGAUAGAGGCAAGAACACUUUCCGGCCAAGUCCCAUUUAUUGAUCAUAACGAUAUCGUGGAAAUGCUACACGGACCCAUAUAUAUAGGAACAGAAAAAGAAUUACCUUGAUACUAAACCAGAUCGAGCCCGGGAUCUUCUUGGAAAUGGGAAGAUCUAGGAUAGGCGGCCAACCUCCUGGAGAGAGCGAUGUGCAUAGACCAGGUGAGUAGGGAUGCAGCUCCGUGGACCGCUCGUCGGGCCUGAUAGGUGGUGGUAUCACACCCUUCUCAAAGGAACCGUACGUGACACUCUCGCGUCAUACGGCUCCGUCCCGGAAGCAGGACCUUCCCUUUCCUUUGACCAACGGGCCCUCAAACCUUUAUGAUUUCGUGCUAAACCUGGUCUCCAUCUUUGAACUUCUCGUUCGAUGAGACCCCAGGUCUCACUGUUUCCGUUUUCUAGGUCACACCUUAACAUCGUUAGAAAGCAGAGUUGGCUAGCUGCCGGCAUAUCUUUUACGUCACCAGCCACAUAGUCCGCAGCGUCUUUCACUGCAUCGUAUUUG